rnacentral:lncRNA from 1 species
CCGGUGAACGAUUUAUUCUUCUCGAAUGGAUAUGUUUGGAUUUUCGUCGGCGAAUCUCGCGCGUGUACCGAUGCGAUCCGACAACUUCGCGUAAAAAUUGAUAUGGAAACGGAUAGCGCAUCUAAUAUCUAUGCCGCAACGUUGUCAAACCGGCACGCGAAUCCGAAGGUUGAUGACGAUACGCGUGAAAAAUUACCCGCGUAAACCGCUUUCAAGCAAGGCCGCACGAAUUGUGUGUUAAUGUCAGCUGUGAUAUAAUUCAUUGCCCGCUCAAGGCGAGAAUAAGAAAGGAUUUGAAUGCACGGGAAAAACGUAUCCGUGCGCAUCCUCCGCGAGGAUUUCGCGAGAUGGUACAAUGCUCCACUGCCGAGCGAUUUCACGAAUGACGCGCGCGUUAAAAAUUAACGUGGAAGGCGUGUGAUUCCACUUUACACGUGCCAAGUGCGGUAACUUUGCCCAUAUUCGUCAGCGAUAGCUUGGGAAUUAAGAUUCGGCUCGACAAGAUAUAAAUAUAAAAAGCAGAUAAUCUAAAUCCAAAAUAUAAUCAACUUUGCGAUACAGAACCAAAAUAUUUUUUUCUGCCGUGAUUUAUUCGCGAUUUUUCCUUAACAUGCGAUAAAAAAGAUUAUAAAAGAUUAUGGGCAACAUUUUGUCGAACCGAACUCGAGAGGAAAGAGCGAGAGAGAGCCGAGAGGCGCUUAUUACGUAACUCUAAGCGCGCGAUAGCAUAAGAUCCGUAUAAAAUUCACGAAGUAAUCGUCGUCGUCGCGAUGUUUAAUGAGCCGCGCGAAUGCAUCGAAUUAUCUCGCGUGCUACUCGAUAUAUUAACCGCUUCGCACCGCCCGUUAUCGCACGUUAUCGUACGCGCAAGCAGUCCGAGAUAGUGUCGUUUAGCCAGUAGGAAUAACAGAUAAUCGCGAAAUUGAGCUCGCGGUCUGCCUGUGGAUCGAGAUUUCCCGUGAAAGUCUCACGGCAUUGAUAUCCCACAAAGAGACACAGUUACACCGUGCACACGUACAUUACAAACGAUGAAUAUUUAUGAUUAUUGUUCGACAGAAACGGUAUUAUUAUCGCGACGCAGAACGUCGUAGAACCGCUCGAAACUACGUAGCUCUCGAAAAUGAAUAUGCAUAGGUGCCGAUUUAACUCGCUAAUUCUAUUAGUAUAUUUAAAACGGGCUCCUCUUGCUUACGGAAUUCCUUCCCGUUUCACAAUUUCGUGCCGCGACGGUGAGGAGGGGGGAGGGAACGCGGUUUUCGGCGCCGCGGGACACUCGGUGGACGCUCGACGGGACGAAAUGUAAAAAAGAAAAAAAAAAAGAGGAAGAAAAGGAGGAUAUCGCGAUCGGACAUCUCACGACGUUACCGAAGCUGGGCAUUAGCAUCGACGGCGGUUAGCGCCGCUGGUUUGGCACGGUCACGAUGCGCCCGUAAAAUUUACAGCGCCGUAAAGGCACGUCGCGCGUGCCGUCGACUCGACCGGCAGCCGCAGCCGCAGCCGCACGGACGUCGAUGUCCUGUCGUAAAGAAUUUUCCCAGCGCGCGUUGAUAUCCUAGUUUACGUCACGUUCCCUGUCGACGUUGCCCGCGAGCGUGCAGGACGGUCGUGCGCAUUAACGAAAAUCAAUAACCGAUAAUUAUGGUCGCCGUGGUGGCUUUUCUCUCGCCCUCGUCGCCGUCGUCGUCUUUGUCCCACGUUCGCCGCCGAGACGCCGAACGACUGCCACGGUGGGGGUUUCCCGCGGGAGGCGCAUUUCUGCGGGAGAGAGCGAGAGAAAGAGAGAGGUUGGAAACGCGGUCACGACGACGACGACGCGCGGCGAGCGAAGAAAGCCAAGGCGACGCUAUUUUUCCCGCACGAACGGACGGGUGGAUGGACGUGUAUGGACGGACGGACGGACGGACGGACGAGCGCAACACAGUUGCUGCGAGCGAGCGGACGAGAACGGCCGGCUGGCUCGGCGAUAAGAGAGAGAGAGGACGGGCUUGGCAACGUCGGCAACGCGGCACCGGAGAGGAUCUAUAUCCCGACUCGACUCGGUUCGGCUUCGGCAACGCUCGCCGCCUCGUCGCCGCGAGACCACGUGACUCGCGCAACGCGUUCUUCUAUCUACUCGCUAUCCGGUGGACAUCGGCGGACGGAUCUCGCCCGCCGUGUAUCCGUGUGUCGGCUCUCCGCACGCCGCCGAGACGCGAUGAAGAAUCGACGCGACGAUAGACGGAAACGCGAAUUGGAGCUUCUGCAAACACCAUGAGGACGGUUUUGCGAGACGCGCGACGAACCGCGCAAACAUAAUUCUCAUUAACCUCAUUGCGAUGUAACAGAAUAAAUUAAAAAAAAAACAAGAAAUUUGAAAGUCUAAAUUUCCAAUUUAAUGUGGAAUAAGAUGCAAGAUUAAUGCGACGACAACUCGACGAAGCCUUUACUCUUUCAGGGAGCAUGCGAACAAUAGAACGUCGCUCUCGCUUAAGGGGGGAGCCUGCUUUAGAACGCUGAAAAUAAGAGGUAGGUCGUCCUGAAGAAAUCUUAGUGCAGCCUCGUCGCCGCGAGACCACGUGAUUCACGCAACGCGUUCUUCUAUCUACUCGCUAUCCGGUGGACAUCGGCGGACGGAUCUCGCCCGCCGUGUAUCCGUGUGUCGGCUCUCCGCACGCCGCCGAGACGCGAUGAAGAAUCGACGCGACGAUAGACGGAAACGCGAAUUGGAGCUUCUGCAAACACCAUGAGGACGGUUUUGCGAGAGACGCGCGACGAACCGCGCAAACAUAAUUCUCAUUAACCUCAGUGCGAUGUAACAGAAUAAAUUAAAAAAAAAACAAGAAAUUUGAAAGUCUAAAUUUCCAAUUUAAUGUGGAAUAAGAUGCAAGAUUAAUGCGACGACAACUCGACGAAGCCUUUACUCUUUCAGGGAGCAUGCGAACAAUAGAACGUCGCUCUCGCUUAAGGGGGGAGCCUGCUUUAGAACGCUGAAAAUAAGAGGUAGGUCGUCCUGGAGAAAUCUUAGUGCAGCCUCGUCGCCGCGAGACCACGUGACUCACGCAACGCGUUCUUCUAUCUACUCGCUAUCCGGUGGACAUCGGCGGACGGAUCUCGCCCGCCGUGUAUCCGUGUGUCGGCUCUCCGCACGCCGCCGAGACGCGAUGAAGAAUCGACGCGACGAUAGACGGAAACGC